GAUGAACGCUGGCGGCGUGCUUAACACAUGCAAGUCGAACGGUGAAGGUGGGAGCUUGCUCCUGCUGGAUCAGUGGCGAACGGGUGAGUAACACGUGAGUAACCUGCCCCGGACUCUGGGAUAAGCGUUGGAAACGACGUCUAAUACCGGAUACGAGACGAGAAGGCAUCUUCAUCGUCUGGAAAGAUUUUUUGGUCUGGGAUGGACUUGGGGCCUAUCAGGUCGUUGGUGAGGUAAUGGCUCACAAAGCCUACGACGGGUAGCCGGCCUGAGAGGGUGACCGGCCACACUGGGACUGCGACACGGCCCAGACUCCUACGGGAGGCAGCAGUGGGGAAUAUUGCACAAUGGGCGAAAGCCUGAUGCAGCAACGCCGCGUGAGGGACGACGGCCUUCGGGUUGUAAACCUCUUUUAGUAGGGAAGAAGCGAAAGUGACGGUACCUGCAGAAAAAGCACCGGCUAACUACGUGCCAGCAGCCGCCGUAA
rnacentral:rRNA from 1 species